CGGAUGCGGAUCUCGAAAGCCUGUCCCAGUUCGGACUGGAGUCUGCAACCCGACUCCACGAAGUUGGAUUCGCUAGUAAUCGCGCAUCAGCCAUGGCGCGGUGAAUACGUUCCCGAGCCUUGUACACACCGCCCGUCAAGCCAUGGGAGCCGGGGGCGCCUGAAGUCCGGGACCGCGAGGACCGGCCUAGGGCGAAACUGGUAACUGGGGGCUAAGUCGUAACAAGGUACC
rnacentral:rRNA from 1 species